rfam:Schistosoma mattheei strain Denwood, Zambia genome assembly, scaffold: SMTD_scaffold0013548
AGCUUUCUGUAUCCAUCCCGAGAUUUUGUCGAACACCAGACCAUCAGGACUGAAGAGACUCUUAGGAUAAGUAGUGGU